CAGAGGGGCAAGCGUUAUUCGGAAUUAUUGGGCGUAAAGGGCGCGUAGGCGGCUUUGCAAGUGACGGGUGAAAGCCCUCGGCUUAACCGAGGAACUGCCUGUCAGACUGUGAGGCUUGAGACCGGGAGAGGUGAGUGGAAUUCCCAGUGUAGCGGUGAAAUGCGUAGAUAUUGGGAGGAACACCAGUGGCGAAGGCGGCUCACUGGACCGGAACUGACGCUGAGGCGCGAAAGCGUGGGGAGCAAACAGGAUUAGAUACCCUGGUAGUCCACGCCGUAAACGAUGAGUGCUUGGUGUAGCGGGUAUCGACCCCUGCUGUGCCGAAGUCAACACAUUAAGCACUCCGCCUGGGGGGUACGGUCGCAAGACUG
rnacentral:rRNA from 1 species